GAAUAUUAUUCAGUCUAAAUCUCAGUGGCAGCGUGUAUUAAUUUUAUUUAUUAUUUUAUAUCAUACUACUGUAUAUUGUUUAUUGUAUAUUAUACUAUAUGUGGUUUUGGCAUUUCCUUACUCAAAUAAUAACCAUGUAUAAGUGUUAUGUUAGAGCACACCCAAACCGGGGGCUGAAUUAAGGGAUAUAAUAAAUGUAGUUCACUCUGCAACAUUAAUUUCUAAUUAUAUGUUCCUUCUAUUUAUCUAGGAAAGUUAAGAUGUAGACAGCUUCGUGUCAAGCAAAGACCCAAAAGAAUUGCCAUUUCUUGUAAUGGUUGUCUGGCGACCGUUGAAUGCAAUUUCUCAAAUCUUUAUUGUCGCUGACUUGCUGGUACUUUUUCGAGUUAAGGUUGUAAUUGUGGAACUGAUGGCAUGAACUCACAUUCUCUUUUCGAGAGGAGGUUAAUUAAUGAAAUUAGGAAUGACAUAUACUAAGUGAUAUGAACUGAAUAAAAUCUGAACUCAGUAGGAGAGGGCAAUUGCUCUUGUAUUGUAUAUACAGUAGGUAUCGUUUAUAACUCAUUGCAGUAUUUGCAUCAGUUUGGUUCGAAUGUUGCAUCUUUACUCUGAACGGAGUGCGUACAACCAUGCAUGCAUGUACAGGGUGUCUCAAAAAAACCCAAAAUCAUUGAAAUAACGUAUUGUUCGAAUUUCAAUGCCGUAACACAAAGGAUUUUGACAGGGUGAUUAAUUUGUUUUAAAAAAUUAAAAUAUCUUUGUAAAGUGAACGUUUGUUUGCUCAUGG